rnacentral:rRNA from 1 species
UAAUACUUACUGGAGGUCCGAACCCACGCACGUUGAAAAGUGCGGGGAUGAGGUGUGGGUAGCGGAGAAAUUCCAAUCGAACUUGGAGAUAGCUGGUUCUCUCCGAAAUAGCUUUAGGGCUAGCCUCGAGGUAAAGAGUCAUGGAGGUAGAGCACUGUUUGGACUAGGGGCCCUUCUCGGGUUACCGAAUUCAGAUAAACUCCGAAUGCCAUGUACUUAUACUCGGGAGUCAGACUGCGAGUGAUAAGAUCCGUAGUCGAAAGGGAAACAGCCCAGACCACCAGUUAAGGUCCCCAAAUAUAUGUUAAGUGGAAAAGGAUGUGGGGUUGCUUAGACAACCAGGAUGUUGGCUUAGAAGCAGCCACCAUUGAAAGAGUGCGUAAUAGCUCACUGGUCGAGUGACCACGCGCCGAAAAUGUACCGGGGCUAAACAUAUUACCGAAACUGUGGAUGAAGCUCUUUAGAGGUU